CAGAGUGUACCCCAUCUAUUUGUUUAUCAUCUAUUUUGCUUGUUCCUUCUUUCCUAGUCAAUCUCCUCUCUGUUAGUUUACUUGUUGAUCAGUUCAAAUGCAUUGUUAUAUUUGAUGAAAAUCUUUGUCUUUCAGGAGAAGAGGACAUGGAGAGUGAUUAGGACUAGAGUCAAGCAUAAUGCCUUGUGGUUCAUUAACCAAGCAGAGUUAGCAUUGGCAGC
rnacentral:lncRNA from 1 species